UACGUAGGGGGCUAGCGUUGUCCGGAAUCAUUGGGCGUAAAGCGCGUGUAGGCGGUCCGGUAAGUCCGCUGUGAAAGUCGGGGGCUCAACCCUCGAAUGCCGGUGGAUACUGUCGGGCUAGAGUGCGGAAGAGGCGAGUGGAAUUCCUGGUGUAGCGGUGAAAUGCGCAGAUAUCAGGAGGAACACCAAUUGCGAAGGCGGUUCUCUGGGAAUGUCCUGACGCUGAGGAGCGAAAGUGUGGGGAGCGAACAGG
rnacentral:rRNA from 1 species